rnacentral:rRNA from 1 species
GACGAACGCUGGCGGCAUGCCUAACACAUGCAAGUCGAACGGUAAGGCUUCCUUCGGGAAGUACACGAGUGGCGAACGGGUGAGUAACACGUGGGUACCCUACCCUUGACUGGGGGAUAACCGAGGGAAACUUCGGCUAAUACCGCCUACCGUGCAUUGCCCCAAGGUGGUGUACCAACGCUCCAGCGGUUAAGGAUGGGCCCGCGGCAGAUUAGCUUGUUGGUGAGGUAACGGCUUACCAAGUCGACGAUCUGUAGCUGGUCUGAGGGGACGAUCAGCCACACUGGAACUGAGACACGGUCCAGACUCCUACGGGAGGCAGCAGUGGGGAAUCUUGCGCAAUGGGCGAAAGCCUGACGCAGCAAUGCCGCGUGAGGGAAGACGGCCUUAGGGUUGUAAACCUCUUUCAGCAGGGACGAACACAGACGGUACCUGCAGAAGAAGCCCCGGCUAACUACGUGCCAGCAGCCGCGGUAA